UAAUCACUUUAUCAUUACUUUGAAUAAAAUAGAGUGUUUAAAGCAAAACAUUAAGUUAAUGAAUAUUCAAGCAUGGGACAAUGCUGAGGGGAUGUCUUCGGACAUUUCGAGAGAAGGAUUAAAAGGAACAAUUGGGGUGAUUCAGAAAAUAACGGGAGAGGUGAAAUUCCAUGAUCGCUAUAAGAUGCACGAGAGCGAAAGCAUUUCACUCAACUGGGUCCAUUAAUCAAGAACGAAAGUUAGGGGAUCGAAGACGAUCAGAUACCGUCGUAGUCCUAACUAUAAACGAUGUCAACCAAGGAUUGGAUGAAAUAAAGAAAUUCGCGGAUGAAGAAACAUUGUUUCGGAAACCAAGAGUUUCACAACUACCUUGUUCAGAACUUAAAGAGAAAUCUCGAGUUUAUGGACUUCAGGGGGAGUAUGGUCACAAGGCUGAAACUUAAAGGAAUUGACGGAAGGGCACACCAGGAGUGGAGCCUGCGGCUUAAUUUGACUCAACACGGGAAAACUUACCAAGACCGAACAGUAGAAGGAAUGACAGAUUAAGAGUUCUUUCAUGAUUUAUUGGGUAGUGGUGCAUGGCCGUUCUUAGUUGGUGGAGUGAUUUGUCAGGUUAAUUCCGGUAACGAACGAGACUGAAACCUAUUAAUUAGUUUCCUGCCUAUACGACAGGAAUCUCCGCAAGGUCAGGUGCCUCGGUACCACUUCUUAAAGGGACACAUUUCAAUUGUCU
rnacentral:rRNA from 1 species